CCUACGGGAGGCAGCAGUGGGGAAUAUUAGACAAUGGGCGAAAGCCUGAUCCAGCCAUGCCGCGUGUGUGAAGAAGGUCUUCGGAUUGUAAAGCACUUUAAGUUGGGAGGAAGGGCAGUAAAUUAAUACUUUGCUGUUUUGACGUUACCGACAGAAUAAGCACCGGCUAACUCUGUGCCAGCAGCCGCGGUAAU
rnacentral:rRNA from 1 species